rnacentral:tRNA from 1 species
UCGGAUAUGGUGUAAAGGUAACAUAUCCGCCUCUCAUCGCAAGGUGCGCGGUUGCUCGGGGUUCGAUUCCCCGUAUCCGAA